rnacentral:RNase_P_RNA from 2 species
GUAUUCGGGUAAUCGCUGGAAUAGCAAUGUUUCAGAGGAAAGUCCAUGCUCGCACGGUACUGAAAUGUCCGUAGUGUUUGUGCUCGGUGAAAAAAUAAGCCGAGGCCCGCUUAGGCGGUGAUGGCGAGUGACACACCUAAGUCUUUGAUAUGGUGUUAGCUCUGAAAGUGCCACAGUGACGUAGUCUUUUUGGAAACAAAGAGAGUGGAACGAGGUAAACCCCACAAGCGAGCAACCCAAAUUUUGGUAGGGGCACUUUGUUCACGGAAUAACAACGUAGAACAGAGGCGAAUAGUUCGUAGACAGAUGGUUAUCGCUCUUGUAUCCGUUAAACCUGGCGGUAUAGGAGUACAAAACAUGGCUUAUAGAA